rnacentral:miRNA from 1 species
UGGGAGGAGGGGAUCUUGGG